GGGGGUAUAGCUCAGUGGUACAGCAUAUGCUUGGCAUGCACAAGGUCCUGGGUUCAAUCCCCAGUACCUCCA
rnacentral:tRNA from 1 species